rnacentral:rRNA from 1 species
UACGGAGGGGGCUAGCGUUGUUCGGAAUUACUGGGCGUGAAGCGCGCGCAGGCGGACCUGCAAGUCGGGGGUGAAAGCCCGAGGCUCAACCUCGGAACUGCCUUCGAUACUGCGGGUCUCGAGUCCGGGAGAGGUGAGUGGAAUUCCUAGUGUAGAGGUGAAAUUCGUAGAUAUUAGGAAGAACACCAGUGGCGAAGGCGGCUCACUGGCCCGGUACUGACGCUGAGGCGCGAAAGCGUGGGGAGCAAACAGG